AGGACGAACGCUGGCGGCGUGCUUAACACAUGCAAGUCGAGCGGAAAGGCCCUUCGGGGUACUCGAGCGGCGAACGGGUGAGUAACACGUGAGUAAUCUGCCCCUAGCUCUGGGAUAGCUCCGGGAAACCGGGAUUAAUACCAGAUACAACCACUUUAGACAUCUCUUGUGGUGGAAAGAAUUUCGGCUAGGGAUGAACUCGCGGCCUAUCAGCUUGUUGGUGAGGUAACGGCUCACCAAGGCGACGACGGGUAGCCGGCCUGAGAGGACGACCAGCCACACUGGGACUGAGACACGGCCCAGACUCCUACGGGAGGCAGCAGUGAGGAAUUUUCCGCAAUGGGCGAAAGCCUGACGGAGCGACGCCGCGUGCACGAGGAAGGUCUUCGGAUCGUAAAGUGCUGUCGAGGGGGACGAUUAUGACGGUACCCCUGGAGGAAGCCCCGGCUAACUACGUGCCAGCAGCCGC
rnacentral:rRNA from 1 species